GACGAACGCUGGCGGCGUGCUUAACACAUGCAAGUCGAGCGAUGAAGCUCCUUCGGGAGCGGAUUAGCGGCGGACGGGUGAGUAACACGUGGGUAACCUGCCUCAUAGAGGGGAAUAGCCUUCCGAAAGGAAGAUUAAUACCGCAUAAGAUUGUAGUACCGCAUGGUACAGCAAUUAAAGGAGUAAUCUGCUAUGAGAUGGACCCGCGUCGCAUUAGCUAGUUGGUGAGGUAACGGCUCACCAAGGCGACGAUGCGUAGCCGACCUGAGAGGGUGAUCGGCCACAUUGGGACUGAGACACGGCCCAGACUCCUACGGGAGGCAGCAGUGGGGAAUAUUGCACAAUGGGGGAAACCCUGAUGCAGCAACGCCGCGUGAGUGAUGACGGUCUUCGGAUUGUAAAGCUCUGUCUUCAGGGACGAUAAUGACGGUACCUGAGGAGGAAGCCACGGCUAACUACGUGCCAGCAGCCGCCGCAGUAA
rnacentral:rRNA from 1 species